rnacentral:rRNA from 1 species
GAUGAACGCUGGCGGCGUGCCUAAUACAUGCAAGUCGAGCGAACGGACGAGGAGCUUGCUUCUCUGAUGUUAGCGGCGGACGGGUGAGUAACACGUGGAUAACCUACCUAUAAGACUGGGAUAACUUCGGGAAACCGGAGCUAAUACCGGAUGAUAUUUUGAACCGCAUGGUUCAAUAGUGAAAGACGGUCUUGCUGUCACUUAUAGAUGGAUCCGCGCUGCAUUAGCUAGUUGGUAAGGUAACGGCUUACCAAGGCAACGAUGCAUAGCCGACCUGAGAGGGUGAUCGGCCACACUGGAACGUAGACACGGUCCAGACGCCUACGGGAGGCAGCAGUAGGGAAUCUUACGCAGAGGGCGAAAGCCUGACGGAGCAACGCCGCGUGAGUGAUGAAGGUCUUCGGAUCGUAAAACUCUGUUAUUAGGGAAGAACAUAUGUGUAAGUAACUGUGCACAUCUUGACGGUACCUAAUCAGAAAGCCACGGCUAACUACGUG